rnacentral:rRNA from 1 species
UUCUUUAUCACCGAGUGCUUGCACUCACCGAUAGAGAGUUGAGUGGCGAACGGGUGAGUAACACGUGGGCAACCUGCCCAAAAGAGGGGGAUAACACUUGGAAACAGGUGCUAAUACCGCAUAACCAUAGUUACCGCAUGGUAACUAUGUAAAAGGUGGCUAUGCUACCGCUUUUGGAUGGGCCCGCGGCGCAUUAGCUAGUUGGUGGGGUAAAGGCUUACCAAGGCAAUGAUGCGUAGCCGAACUGAGAGGUUGAUCGGCCACAUUGGGACUGAGACACGGCCCAAACUCCUACGGGAGGCAGCAGUAGGGAAUCUUCCACAAUGGGCGAAAGCCUGAUGGAGCAACGCCGCGUGGGUGAAGAAGGUCUUCGGAUCGUAAAACCCUGUUGUUAGAGAAGAAAGUGCGUGAGAGUAACUGUUCACGUUUCGACGGUAUCUAACCAGAAAGCCACGGCUAACUACGUGCCAGCAGCCGCGGUAAUACGUAGGUGGCAAGCGUUAUCCGGAUUUAUUGGGCGUAAAGGGAACGCAGGCGGUCUUUUAAGUCUGAUGUGAAAGCCUUCGGCUUAACCGGAGUAGUGCAUUGGAAACUGGGAGACUUGAGUGCAGAAGAGGAGAGUGGAACUCCAUGUGUAGCGGUGAAAUGCGUAGAUAUAUGGAAGAACACCAGUGGCGAAAGCGGCUCUCUGGUCUG